CAGUAGCCGCGGUAAUACGGAGGGUGCAAGCGUUAUCCGGAUUUAUUGGGUUUAAAGGGUCCGUAGGCGGACUUAUAAGUCAGUGGUGAAAGCCUGUCGCUUAACGAUAGAACUGCCAUUGAUACUGUAAGUCUUGAGUAUAUUUGAGGUAGCUGGAAUAAGUAGUGUAGCGGUGAAAUGCAUAGAUAUUACUUAGAACACCAAUUGCGAAGGCAGGUUACCAAGAUAUAACUGACGCUGAGGGACGAAAGCGUGGGUAGCGAACAGGAUUAGAGACCCCAGUAGUCCCUGUCUCUUAUAC
rnacentral:rRNA from 1 species